rnacentral:rRNA from 1 species
GAAGCAUGAUCGCAAGGACAUGUGGAGCGCUUAGAAGUGAGAAUGCCGGUGUGAGUAGCGAAAGACGGGUGAGAAUCCCGUCCACCGAUUGACUAAGGUUUCCAGAGGAAGGCUCGUCCGCUCUGGGUUAGUCGGGUCCUAAGCUGAGGCCGACAGGCGUAGGCGAUGGAUAACAGGUUGAUAUUCCUGUACCACCUAUAAUCGUUUUAAUCGAUGGGGGGACGCAGUAGGAUAGGCGAAGCGUACGAUUGGAUUGUACGUCUAAGCAGUGAGAUUGAGUGUUAGGCAAAUCCGGCACUCUUAAGAUUGAGCUGUGAUGGGGAGAGGAAAUUGUUUCCUCGAGUCGUUGAUUUCACACUGCCGAGAAAAGCCUCUAGAUAGAGAUUAGGUGCCCGUACCGCAAACCGACACAGGUAGUCAAGAUGAGAAUUCUAAGG